rnacentral:rRNA from 1 species
CAGCAGCCGCGGUAAUACGUAGGUGGCAAGCGUUGUCCGGAAUUAUUGGGCGUAAAGGGCUCGCAGGCGGUUUCUUAAGUCUGAUGUAAAAGCCCCCGGCUCAACCGGGGAGGGUCAUUGGAAACUGGGAAACUUGAGUGCAGAAGAGGAGAGUGGAAUUCCACGUGUAGCGGUGAAAUGCGUAGAGAUGUGGAGGAACACCAGUGGCGAAGGCGACUCUCUGGUCUGUAACUGACGCUGAGGAGCGAAAGCGUGGGGAGCGAACAGGAUUAGAUACCCCCGUAGUCCCUGUCUCUUAUAC